rfam:Erinaceus europaeus unplaced genomic scaffold scaffold00819, whole genome shotgun sequence
GUGCUCGCUCCAGCAGCACAUAUACUAAAACUGGAACAAUACUGAGAGAUUGCAUGGCCCCGUGCACGGAUGACACGCAAAUUCAUCAAGUGUUCCAUAUUUAA